AAAGUCGUAACAAGGUUUCCGUAGGUGAACCUGCGGAAGGAUCAAUAAAGAGAAUUAGGAUAGGAGUGUGAAAAGUUUUAUAAAAAUAUAAAAAGAUUUUGGGGAUAACCCGACAAAAAGAGAAAAACUUUUAGCAACGGAUCUCUUGGUUCUC
rnacentral:misc_RNA from 1 species